ACUCAUAGAAUUGAAAUUCGUUUUUAUCACAUCCUCGCUGCUUUCUUCGGCAUCGUCUACUUCGUAGCUCUGGUUCAAUUAAUUCGGAUACAAUUGAGAGUACCAGAAUAUAGAUGGACCACGCAGAAGGUUUUCCACUUUCUCAAUUUCGUUGUCAAUGGAGGUUUUGUAAGAAAGUGCAGAUAGUAUUGAAGAGCCUCCCAACCUUCAAAAUCUGACACAAAGGAAGAAAUUCUACAGGUUCAUGUCUUUUUUGUUUUGGUCUGUCUCUGAUUGUAAAAUGUAGGAAGAAAUUUUAUGUUCUCAGUUGGGUUGUAGCUGUUGUUUUGUUUUAUAGUAGAAUUGUAGUGAAACUCCAGCAAUUAUUCUUUUUAAGCUAUUCUAGCAGAUGUUAAGCUUAUUCUUUGACAUACAUGAUGUUAAGUCUUUUGGAAAGCAAAAAAUCAAAAUUUGAUGAUUUCUGAUGCAUUCAUUCAUCUUAUGCAUUUAAUUGUAGGAAAAAGAAACUGGAUAUCUAAUUAUUUCA